AUUGAACGCUGGCGGCAGGCCUAACACAUGCAAGUCGAGCGGCAGCGGAAAGUAGCUUGCUACUUUGCCGGCGAGCGGCGGACGGGUGAGUAAUGUCUGGGAAACUGCCUGAUGGAGGGGGAUAACUACUGGAAACGGUAGCUAAUACCGCAUAACGUCGCAAGACCAAAGAGGGGGACCUUCGGGCCUCUUGCCAUCAGAUGUGCCCAGAUGGGAUUAGCUAGUAGGUGGGGUAACGGCUCACCUAGGCGACGAUCCCUAGCUGGUCUGGGAGGAUGACCAGCCACACCGGAACUGAGACACGGUCCAGACUCCUACGGGAGGCAGCAGUGGGGAAUAUUGCACAAUGGGCGCAAGCCUGAUGCAGCCAUGCCGCGUGUAUGAAGAAGGCCUUCGGGUUGUAAAGUACUUUCAGCGGGGAGGAAGGUGUUGAGGUUAAUAACCUCAGCAACUGACGUUACCCGCAGAAGAAGCACCGGCUAACUCCGUGCCAGCAGCCGCAGUAA
rnacentral:rRNA from 1 species